rnacentral:rRNA from 1 species
AGUUCGAUUUCGGCUCAGAUUGAACGCUGGCGGGAUGCUUUACACAUGCAAGUCGAACGGCAGCAUCGGGACUUCGGUCUGGUGGCGAGUGGCGAACGGGUGAGUAAUGUAUCGGAACGUGCCUAGUAGCGGGGAUAACUACGCGAAAGCGUAGCUAAUACCGCAUACGCCCUUCGGGGGAAAGCGGGGACCUUCGGGCUCGCAGUAAUUAUUACGGCUGAUAUCGGGAUUAGCUAGUUGGUGGGGUAACGGCUCACCAUACAGAUGAUCCGGUAAAGCUGGUUUGAGAGGACGACCAGCCACACUGGGACUGAGACACGGCCCAGACUCCCACGGAGGCAGGGAAUUUUGGACAAUGGGGAAACCCCGGAAAUAGUCCAGCCAUCUCGCGUGUGCGAUGUAAAGGCCUUCGGGUUGUAAAGCACGGCAGGAAACGGUACGGAUAACACCCGUGCAACUGACGGUACCUGCAGAAUAAGCACCGGCUAACUACGUGCCAGCAGCCGCGGUAAUACGUAGGGUGCAAGCGUUAAUCGGAAUUACUGGGCGUAAAGCGUGCGCAGGCGGUUCGGAAAGAAAGAUGAAAUCCCAGAGCUUAACUUUUGGAACUGCAUUUAACUACCGAGCUAGAGUGUGUCGAGGGAGGUGGAAUCGCGUGUAGCAGUGAAAUGCGUAGAUAUGCGGAGGAACACCGAUGGCGUAGGCAGCCUCUGAUAUAACACUGACGCUCAUGCACGAAAGCGUGGGGAGCAAACAGGAUUAGGAUACCCGGGUUCACGCCCAAACGAUGUCAACUAGCUUUUCGUUAGCUUCGGCCUUGGUAGCGCAGCUUAACGCGUGAAGUUGACCGCCUGGGGAGUACGGUCGCAAGAUUAAAACUCAAAGGAAUUGACGGGGACCCGCACAAGCGGUGGAUGAUGAUUACCCGAUGCAACGCGAAAAACCUUAAUACCCCUGACAUGUCUGGAAUCCCGAAGAGAUUUGGGAGCAAGCUCGCAAGAGAACCGGAACACAGGUGCUGCAUGGCUGUCGUCAGCUCGUGUCGACAGAUGUUGGGUUAAGUCCCGCAACGAGCGCGCAACCUUGUCAUUAUUGCUACGAAAGGGCACUCUAAUGAGACUGCUGGUGACAAACCGGAGGAAGGUGGAUGAUGUCAAGUCCUCAUGGCCCUUAUGGGUAGGGCUUCACACGUCAUACAAUGGUCGGGAGGGUCGCCAACCCGCGAGGGGGAGCCAAUCCCAGAAACCUGAUCGUAGUCCGGAUCGCAGUCUGCAACUCGACUGCGUGGAAGUCGGAAUCGCUAGCAAUCGCGGAUCAGCAUGUCGCGGUGAAUACGUUCCCGGGUCUUGUACACACCGCCCGUCACACCAUGGGAGUGGGUUUUACCAGAAGUAGUUAGCCUAACCGUAUGAGUGGGCGAUUACCAUGGUAGGAUUCAUGACUGGGGUGGUCGUACUACAGUAG